GUGCGCGCAGGGAGGAGCGUAAAAGUUGACAGCCUUGAGCAUGUGACACCUUCUGCCAUGAGAUGAUGCUACAAGAAGAACCUCACCGACUGCUGGCACCUUGAUACUGGACUUCACAGCCUCCAGAAUUGUGAGCCAAUGUCUUUCAAACAUUGAUAAUUACAGCUUUCAGACCCAAAGCCUACAAAUUCAUAAUCCAUACAGAUGACAUACUAAAAUCUACUCAAACUUGUAAGUCUGAAGACAAUUUCAGCACUAUUGGACUUACAUUAGGAGAAAACUGCUUAAAAAGAGAUAAUCCACUUUAAAGCAAGAAAACAAGAUAAUUCAAGGGAAAAAUGUAUGACUCUAAAUUUGGAAACCAGACAGGAUCUGCUAAUACGGGGCAGAAUGUUAAAAAGAGGAUGAAUUUUGAUUUCAGAAAAUUUAGAAGAAAAUGGAUUUCUCAGGCAACUGAAAGAACAUAUUUGGAUCUGUUAAGAUGAAAGGAGACUUCAAGAGAACUGGACUUUGUGUUGGACAGGCUGUCUGUGACAGGGAAAAAACCCCUUCUGAAUGAUUAGGGAUGAAUCAGUUAACUUGCUUGAGUUUCACAUUCUUCAUCUGUAAAAUCUGGUGAUUAGACUGGCCCAGCAAAAGAUAUAAUGGGCAAAAGAUAUAAUACACAUAAAUUGGAAUGAAUCUGCAUUUUCCAAGCCUGAUGACUUUAUUAAAACUGAAUUAAGUCACUAACUGGCAGCCUGAAGAUGAAAGGAAAGAACUCAGUCAUGCUUCUUAAGGUAAAAGGGCAGUCUAACUGAGAAUUUUGUUAUCUCUGAGGACAAAUUACAAGGAGAUAAAGACACUCAAGAUCACAUGGAAGGCUUCUGCUCCCACUUAGAGACUGCAAUGUAAGCGACGGAGACAAAGAAGAUUUUCCUGAGCAGUGUCAGUAACAAAGAAAUGAAGCAAAUUAUUAAGAAACUGAUGGGCAUUCAUUGAAGAGCAACAAAUAUGAUUCAUAAGUCUGAAGGGACAGCCUUCAGAGAGAAGAUGAAAGAGACAAGUCUCUCAGCAUGACCAUGUGGCUCUAACGGGACUGGCUCAUGGGCAACAAGUACUUGAAGGGUGUAAAUAGUGGGGACAGAGAGAAAUUAUUUAGUGUGCAAGGGGACAGCAGGAGGAGUGAUGGUAAAUGAAAGUCAAAACAAAGAUGAUUUAGGCAGCUGAACGAGUCACAGGCCCUAAUGGAGAGAUCUAUUAUAGGCUGUACAGCCUUGGGAAGGGUGGAAACCCCAUCACUUGUGCCAUUUACAGUUGGAAAAGCCAUUAAAAAGUAGAUCAGCCUGUUGGAGAGGGAAAAAACACCGCAGGUCCUCAGAGAAUCAGUGG
rnacentral:lncRNA from 10 species